rnacentral:rRNA from 1 species
CCUACGGGAGGCAGCAGUGAGGAAUAUUGGUCAAUGGACGGAAGUCUGAACCAGCCAUGCCGCGUGCAGGAAGACGGCUCUAUGAGUUGGAAACUGCUUUUGUACAAGGGUAAACCUGAAUACGUGUAUUCAGCUGAACGUCUUGUUCGAUUAAGGCUCGGCCAACCCCGUGCCAGCAGCCGCGGUAAUACGGAGGGUCCAAGCGUUACCGGGAUUUAGUGGGUUUAAAGGGUGCGGAGGCGGAUUGAUAAGUUAGAGGGGAAAUGUCCGGGCCUAACUCCGGAACUGCCUCGAAUACUGUUGAGCCAGAGAGUAGGAGCGGUAAGCGGAAUUUAUGGUGUAGCGGUGAAAUGCUUAGAGAUCA